GGGCCCGCACAAGCGGUGGAGUAUGUGGUUUAAUUCGAUGCAACGCGAAGAACCUUACCAGGGUUUGACAUCCUGCGAAUUUCUGGGAAACCGGAAAGUGCCUUCGGGAGCGCAGUGACAGGUGGUGCAUGGCUGUCGUCAGCCCGUGUCGUGAGAUGUUGGGUUAAGUCCCAGCAACGAGCGCAACCACGUCUUUAGUUGCCAGCAUUUAGUUGGGCACUCUAGAGAGACUGCCGGUGAUAAACCGGAGAAGGUGUGGAUGACGUCAAGUCAUCAUGCCCCUUACAUCUGGGCUACACACGUACUACAAUGCUACGGACAAAGGGCUGCAAGUUCGCGAGGACAAGCAAAUCCCAUAAACGUGGCUC
rnacentral:rRNA from 1 species